AGGCCGACUGCGGCAUGGCCGGCGUGUCGCCCACGCGCUCGAUCACCAGCCGGCGGUUCAUGUCCAUCUCGGCCUG
rnacentral:tRNA from 2 species